rnacentral:rRNA from 1 species
GACGAACGCUGGCGGCGUGCUUAACACAUGCAAGUCGAACGAUGAACCCGGAGCUUGCUCCGGUGGAUUAGUGGCGCACGGGUGAGUAACACGUGAGUAACCUGCCCUUGACUCUGGGAUACCCGCGUGACACUGUAGCUAAUACCGGAAUCGACCCUCACCGCCAUCGCCAGGGGGUGUAAAGAAUAUCGGUCAACGAUGGACUCGCGGCCGAUCAGCUAGUUGGGGAGUUAACGGCUCACCAAGGCGACGACGGGUAGCCGGCCUGGGAGGGUGACCGGCCACACUGGGACUGAGACACGGCCCAGACACCUACGGGAGGCAGCAGUGGGGAAUAUUGCACAAUGGGCGCAAGCCUGAUGCGACAACGCCGCGUGAGGGAUGACGGCCUUCGGGUUGUAAACCUCUUUUAGUAGGGAAGAAGCGAAAGUGACGGUACCUGCAGAAAAAGCACCGGCUAACUACGUGCCAGCAGCCGCCGUAA